AUUGAACGCUGGCGGCAGGCCUAACACAUGCAAGUCGAGCGAGCGGCGGACGGGUGAGUAAUGCCUAGGAAUCUGCCUGGUAGUGGGGGAUAACUACUGGAAACGGUAGCUAAUACCGCAUACCAUCAGAUGUGCCCAGAGGGGAUUAGCUAGUAGGGGGGGUAAUGGCUCACCUAGGCGACGACCCCUAUCUGGUCUGAGAGGAUGACCAGCCACACUGGAACGGAGACACGGUCCGAACUCCUACGGGAGGCAGCAGUGGGGAAUAUUGCACAAGGGGCGCAAGCCUUAUGCAGCCAUGCCGCGUGUGAGAAGAAGGCCUUCGGGUUGUAAAGCACUUUCAGCGAGGAGGCGUUACUCGCAGAAGAAGCACCGGCUAACUCCGUGCCAGCAGCCGCGGUAAUAC
rnacentral:rRNA from 1 species